GUGACAGAAGAGAGUGAGCACACAUGGUUCUUGCAUGGAUAAAUCCCAUGCUUAAAAGCUAUGCGUGCUCUCUCUCUAUCUGUCAC
rnacentral:pre_miRNA from 1 species